CUACGUGCCAGCAGCCGCGGUAAUACGUAGGGUGCAAGCGUUAAUCGGAAUUACUGGGCGUAAAGCGAGCGCAGACGGUUACUUAAGCAGGAUGUGAAAUCCCCGGGCUCAACCUGGGAACUGCGUUCUGAACUGGGUGACUAGAGUGUGUCAGAGGGAGGUAGAAUUCCACGUGUAGCAGUGAAAUGCGUAGAGAUGUGGAGGAAUACCGAUGGCGAAGGCAGCCUCCUGGGAUAACACUGACGUUCAUGCUCGAAAGCGUGGGUAGCAAACAGGAUUAGAUACCCUGGUAGUCCACGCCCUAAACGAUGUCAAUUAGCUGUUGGGCAACUUGAUUGCUUAGUAGCGUAGCUAACGCGUGAAAUUGACCGCCUGGGGAGUACGGUCGCAAGAUUAAAACUCAAAGGAAUUGACGGGGGCCCGCACAAGCGGAGGAACAUGUGGUUUAAUUCGAUGAUACGCGAGGAACCUUACCCGGGCU
rnacentral:rRNA from 1 species